rnacentral:RNase_P_RNA from 1 species
GCAGACGGUCAGUUCGUCGCUCGCACCCUUGUGGUGCGUGAGGAAAGUCCGGGCAACGCAGGGCAAUCCGCUUCUUAACCGGAAGUCGUCCGCGAGGGUGAAUACGUGCAGAAGAAAACAACCGCCUUUUUGUGCUUGCGCGAAAGGGUAAGGGUGAGAAGGUGAGGUAAGAGCUCACCGGCCGAACGGUGACGUUCGGGCCGUGUACAUCGGAUGUUGAAAGUUCAUGUAAACCGGCGCUAUCAAGGCGGCCCGCCUGAGUCUUUCAAGACGUGUCGGAGGGUAGAACGAUAGAAUGUGUCGGCAACGGCGCAUCCAGAUAAAUGACGAACACCUCCACCGGAGGUACAGAACCCGGCUUAUCGACCGUCUGCUCCU